CUAAUUCGAACCAACCUCUAUCAGCACAUUUCGUAGCUAGGGUUUUGAAACACAAACCACCCCUCUCCCUCUUCUUCAAUUAUUUGACACAACAUUUAUACUUCAUCAGGCAUUGUGGACCUUGUCAUGCCUUUUUGGUGAAACAAAUUUCACCUUUACUAUCCUUGACAGAUGUCUAUUUUCAAAAUGUUGGCAAAGCUUCACAAAUUUUUGAUUAAUUCGAAGAAAAACUCAUACAAACUAAGUCAAAUUUGACAAAAUAUGAUGAGCUUUGGUUGAACUUCAAACGUUCAAAUUUUUAAGAUUUUCAUUUGACCAAUUUAGAAGUUCAAAAAUGAUUUUCCCUCUCAACAAAUGCAGAACCCUAAUUUUCCCUACAGAUACUUGCAACCAAAGUCCAUUUCAUGUUUUGGGAGGCUGCCAUAGUCCUCUCAAAACAACCAUUUAGUCAUUGUCUCUAACCUCUUAACAAACAAUUUUUUACUAGCCCUUUAGUUGGUUUUGUGUGUUUUCUCGGACCAUAACAGAUACUAAUUUCACUUGAUCUACUAUUUUUCUUGUUUUUCGAGACAACUUGGAGUCCGGAGUCCAUCGAAUUUAAGAUCAACCACCUAUGUCUCAAGUUCAAUACCCUAUAGAAGAUUUCGUACACUUUGCAAUCUCAAAAGAGGGGAAAGUGGAUGACGGUGUUCAAGUUGUUCAUCUUUGGGUCCCGCACUAGAGGUAAUCUUACUUGUGGCUAGAGCUUGGAUUUGACUAUUCCUGAGCUUGGUGAGUCCUCAUGUUUCAAGGAUGGAUUUCCUUACGUCUAGUUUCUUUCAUGUACUUUCCCUUUUUGGACAUGGUGUAUUAGUUCGGCCCUAUUUCAUUAAUUGUAAUAUAUGUCUAUAAUGAUAUAAAGUGCCUACACUUUCGCUUUCUUGAAUGAAAAUAAUUUUAGACUUGAAAUAUUAUUUUACU